rnacentral:tRNA from 1 species
UCCCCAGUGGCCCAGCAGUUAAGGAUUUUGCACUGCCACUGCCAAGGCUUGGGUUCGAGCCCUGACUGGGGAA